rnacentral:rRNA from 1 species
UACGGGGGGGGUAAGCGUUGUUCGGAAUUACUGGGCGUAAAGGGCUCGUAGGCGGCCAACUAAGUCAGACGUGAAAUCCCUCAGCUUAACUGGGGAACUGCGUCUGAUACUGGAUGGCUUGGAUUCGGGAGAGGAAUGCGGAAUUCCAGGUGUAGCGGUGAAAUGCGUAGAUAUCUGGAGGAACACCGGUGGCGAAGGCGGCAUUCUGGACCGACAUUGACGCUGAGGAGCGAAAGCCAGGGGAGCGAACAGG